rnacentral:rRNA from 1 species
UACGAAGGGGGCUAGCGUUGCUCGGAAUCACUGGGCGUAAAGGGUGCGUAGGCGGGUCUUUAAGUCAGGGGUGAAAUCCUGGAGCUCAACUCCAGAACUGCCUUCGAUACUGGCGAUCUUGAGUCCGGAAGAGGUGAGUGGAACUCCUAGUGUAGAGGUGGAAUUCGUAGAUAUUUAGGAAGAACACCAGUGGCGAAGGCGGCUCACUGGCCCGGUACUGACGCUGAGGUGCGAAAGCGUGGGGGAGCAAAACAGG